rnacentral:rRNA from 1 species
CAAUAGCGUAUAUUUAAGUUGCUGCAGUUAAAAAGCUCGUAGUUGGAUUUCGGGUGGGAAUGGCCGGUCCGCCGUUUCGGUGUGCACUUGCUACUCCCACCUUGCUGCCGGGGACGUGCUCUUGAGUUCACGCUCGGGACACGGAGUCGGCGAGGUUACUUUGAGUAAAUUAGAGUGUUCAAAGCAGGCCUACGCUCUGAAUACAUUAGCAUGGAAUAACACGAUAGGACUCUGGCCUAUCUUGUUGGUCUGUAGGACCGGAGUAAUGAUUAAGAGGGACAGUCGGGGGCAUUCGUAUUUCAUUGUCAGAGGUGAAAUUCUUGGAUUUAUGAAAGACGAACUACUGCGAAAGCAUUUGCCAAGGAUGUUUUCAUUAA